rnacentral:tRNA from 1 species
GAAUAUGAAGCGAUUAAUUGCAGUUAGUUUCGACCUAACCUUAGGUAAUUUUACCCUU